rnacentral:rRNA from 1 species
UACGUAGGGUGCGAGCGUUGUCCGGAUUUAUUGGGCGUAAAGCGCGUGUAGGCGGCCAGAUAGGUCUGCUGUGAAAACUCGAGGCUCAACCUCGAGCUGUCGGCGGAAACCAUCUGGCUAGAGUCCGGAAGAGGAGAGUGGAAUUCCUGGUGUAGCGGUGAAAUGCGCAGAUAUCAGGAAGAACACCUAUGACGAAGGCAGCUCUCUGGGACGGUACUGACGCUGAGACGCGAAAGCGUGGGGAGCGAACAGG